GGAAGCGUGUCCGAGCGGCCGAAGGUGCAGCACUCGAAAUGCUGUGUAGGGAGACCUACCGUGGGUUCAAAUCCCACCGCUUCCGCCA
rnacentral:tRNA from 1 species